rnacentral:rRNA from 1 species
UAAGGAAUAUUGCUCAAUGGGAGAAAUCCUGAAGCAGCAACGCCGCGUGGAGGAUGAAGGGUCUAUGACUUGUAAACUCCUGUAAAGAAGGAAAAAAUUCCCAUUUGAUGGGAGAUGAUGGUACUUCUGGAGUAAGCCCCGGCUAACUACGUGCCAGCAGCCGCGGUAAUACGUAGGGGGCAAGCGUUGUCCGGAUUUACUGGGUGUAAAGGGUGCUCAGGCGGAUUUGUAAGUCAGAGGUGAAAUCUUACAGCUUAACUGUGAAACUGCCUUUGAUACUGCAAGCCUAGAGUAUGGAAGAGAGUGAUGGAAUAUCUGGUGUAGCAGUGAAAUGCGUAGAUAUCAGAUAGUACACCAAUGGCGAAGGCAGUCACUUGGUCCAUUACUGACGCUAAAGCACGAAAGCGUGGGUAGCAAACA